rnacentral:lncRNA from 1 species
GCAACCACAUACAAACAUAAAGAAGCUUGAAAUCACACGAUAUAGUGGCAGAAAAUUUCCAAUAUGGUUAGGGGACCCAUCAUUCUCUAACAUGGUUGCUUUAAAAUUGAUAGGAUGUGAAAAUUGCACAUCCUUACCUGCGGUGGGGAUGUUGGUUUCCCUGAAAGAGCUUACAAUUCAACGAAUGCUUGUACUCAGAAGUAUAGGGUCUGAAAUUUGUGGAAACGAUUGCUCAACGCCUUUUCAAUCCUUAGAGACUCUUUUUUUCAGUGAUUUACCGGAAUGGGAGUUCUGGGAUACCGGCAACCAGACUGGGUAUGUUGAAAUAUUCCCUCGCCUCGUUGAACUGUCCAUUUUUGGAUGCCCCAAACUAUCUGGAAAAUUACCUGACCAUCUUCCUGCAUUAGAGACCCUUGUUGUCAGCAAUUGCGAAGAGUUGGUGGUUUCAUUCUCAAGCUUUCCUUUUGCUCUGCAAGUUGGAAAUUUAUAGAUGCAAAGGACUGGUUUGCAGCUCUCCGAUUGACUCUAAGUUGACAAAGUGUAUGGCUAUUUCAAGCUGUUCAUUAGACAUAUACGGAUGCAAAGGGAUGGUAUACAAUAGUCCACUUCUCUUUAAAUCACUGUCGACGCCUGUGACUAUUUCAAAUAUUUUAGAGUUUGGAAAAUUGUUAAAAGGAUUUCUGCCAGCAGAGUUUCUGGGGAUUAGCGAUUCUCAAGAUAUUCAGUUAUUGAGGCCGCAGUUUAAGGAUAUGCAAUUUAGGGAGGAGGCAGUACAAGGGCUAUGGAUUAUCGUGCCCCCUGAAGAGGUAUCAACUGAAGAAAAUUGCAUGAGUCUGGUUUCAUUUCCAGAGGUAAAAUUUUUCCCGAUCAAUCAGCUUGAUCUUGAAAUUGAAAAUAGUGGAGCUUUAAAAUCCUCACUUGAAGGAAUUAUGUACAACUGUGCACAACUGAAAAGUUCGAACAUUAAAGGUUGUGAUUCUCUAGAAUUCAUUGCAAGAGGCAAGCUGCCUUCGUCUUUAGAAUGGCUUCAAAUACUUGAUUGUAAGAAAUUGCGGUGUUUGAUAGUUGAUGAAGAGGAUGCUUCUGUUGCUUCUUCCUCAUUAUCUUCUUUAUCAUUGGCUCUCAAGUGGCUUUAUAUUAGCGGCUGCUCAGAGCUCACCCAUUUACCAUCAAGAACUACGUCAUUGCCGAAAGAGCUUGAAUUUCUAAACAUUAGGGAUUGUCCAAAAUUUGAGUCCAUAGCUGAGAGCUUUCAUGGUAACGGACGUCUUAAACGGAUAGUCAUCUCCGAUUGUGGAAAUCUAAAAUCCAUGCCGAAGGGCCUACAGAAUCUUAGUUGUCUUGAGUCAGUCAAAAUCGUGAGCUGUCCAAGUCUUGUUUCUUUUCCAGAAGGAGGGCUUCCCAGCACUGUUACGAUUGUUUUUAUUGACGGUUGUGAAAAGCUUAAAGCCCUACCUGAAGACAUGCACAGGUUCAGCUACCUUCAAAUUUUAAGAAUCAGGGAAUGUCCAAGUAUUGUAUCAUUUCCUGAAGCAGGUUUUCCUACCAACCUAACAUCACCUGUAAUUACUGAUAUAAAAAUGUACAAGGCAAUUAUCCAAUGGAGCUUGCACAGGCUUACAUCUCUUCUACGCCUUUACAUAAAUGAGGGUGAUAAUGCUGAGUCUUUUCCAGGUGAGAGGAUGGGAAUAAUAUUGCCCACCUCUAUAACUGCAUUGAGGAUUUCUGGAUUCCCAAAUCUGAAAUGCCUAUCUGCAAUGGGUUUUCAAAGCCUGGCCUCACUCGAAUCUCUGAGUAUAUCAAAUUGCCCGAAGCUCAAAUCCUUUCCUGAGGUGGGCCCGCCAUCCUCCCUUUUGGUACUACAAAUUCAAGAUUGUUCUUUGCUGAAAAAACAUUGCAAAAGGGAUAAAGGAAAAGACUGGUCCAAGAUUGCUCACAUCCCUUGUAUUAUGAUAGAUGGCAAAUUCAUCUUCGAUUAAGAAGAGAAAGAAUGAGCUCUGUUUAAUAUCAGAAGGAAGAAUUCAGGUAUGCCAAUUCCUAUUAUUACGAUUACUAAAAACACGUUGUUAAAUUAUAACACAAAUUUUUAUUUUCAAUUUCAAUAUCAAUCCUCUGCCUUCAACUGCAAAUGGCACUAGAAUAUUUUCAUUUUUACUUUUUCAGAUACUAUGAUGAGGCAGUUUGACUUGAUGAUGCUGACAGUUUUUUAUAGUAAUGGACAAAUGGUUGGUACGUUUUCUGUUGAUUAUUUACAGUGUAGUUCAGUUGACUUUAGUACUAUGUAUCUGAAAAUUUUCAGUGAUUUAAUACUUGUUUUCAUUUUAACUCAUCAGAUUUAAUGCGGUCCCAACAAGUUACUCACACACUGGUGCUUUUUUAAGGUAAUCAGUACAUUUUCAGCUGCGUUAACUCGAAUAACUUGUAUCUGAAAUAUUGCUGUCGUAAUUUCUUUUCAAUUUAUAGUUUAGAUCAUAGUCUGGCAUGUAGUUUCAAUGGCGAAUAUUUUUUUUUUUUACAUGUUAUUAUUUUUUCAGAGCAACUCAAUUAGACAGUUCCAAUCCAGAAAUUUUUUAAUGUAUUUUAGUGCAAUCGUAGUUGUCAAGUGAAAUUUUCAUAUUAUGAUGAUCUCGAUGCUAACUACAUUUCCAACUCUUUUAAGUUUUUUGAACUCUAGCGGGUGAAAGUCAAUGGAAAGAAGUUUCUGAACUUUUCCAAUGAUCAAUGCAAUUUGCUUCUAAGGAUAUAACACGGGUCUUCACUUAUUUCAAGUUGCAGAUAUGAUUCUAUCUUUCUUCUGCUGUAAUUUCAGAGGGCAAGGUUGCUCAUAUUCCUUGAGUUGACGUGGAAGAAAGCAUAAGGAAAGCUCUGAGACAAUCCACAUCAAAAUCUUCACCCACUUUUUCACAGUUUGGAAUCGACUACACUGCCUUCAAAAUGACUUUCAAAUGAAAGGGCAGAAAGUUAAUCAUACAGGGUUCCAAAGUCGGUUAAAAGUUAGUUUUAAAGCUUCUGAUUUUUUUCUGAAUAGGCUGACUAGUUAAUAAGCCAAUAAAAUGUGCCAAGAAAUAUCCCUCUGUGGUGGAUCAUCACUUUGCUUGAUUCUUGCUUUGAUUUAGUCUCAGUAAUCUUGUAAUUGCCAUUAUUAAGCUAGUGAAUAUAGAACAAUGGCUGCUUUUGCACCCAUGGAUGUAGGUCAAUUUGACCGAACCAUGUAAAUCUGUGUCUUUGCUCUUUGUGCCUCUCAUUUAAUUUGUGUUUGCUGAGAUUGAUUGCUUUUGUGCAGUUUAAUUCUUGGUAAAAGCUCAGCUUAAUAAUCUCUAUAGAUUGGAUCGAUCUCAAUUCAUUGGGAUUGAGUUUUAGUCAUUUCUGGGGCGAGAGAAAUUGACUCGCACAUGUAUCAUGGCAACGUUUGUUUUAUUUGGAUAUUAUUUGUUUUUAUACAGGCUUUUAGUUUAUUUCAGGUUGUCUGAGUAAAAUUUUAUCACACAUGCGAUUACUUGGAAAAUUCUAACGCCAGUGUAUGUUAAAAAUGAAAUUGGGUCAUGUAGGUACCCUCUGUCAAGAUCAAGUGCUAGCUGGACAACCACUUUGAAAACUAGUCUCCUUCUCCUGCUGUAAGUUUCAUUUCCUUUUAGAUUUUACCGCAUGAGUUCAGCUUAAUUUCUUCAAAUCACUCCGAUUUAAGACCAAAUAGACUCUGGAAUAAUGGCUUAAGUAAUAUAUAAUAGAGAUGAUUAGGGGAUGGGCAAGGAUACUUGGUAAUAUGAAGGGACAAUUUGGAUGUGUUCGCAAAAAUGAAAACACAGUAUCCCCUGUAAUAUUGGAUGCGAUUGAUGACUGAAUGGUCAAUCUAACCUUUUUUUCCAUAACAUUUUAAAGCACCCAACUACUUUCAGAUCCAUCUGCCAUCUAUAUUGAGUAUAUUCUAAUUAUAAAUCUAUCGUUGUUUGUCCUUAGAAAGCAAAAUACAUACAAAACUGUAUUUAAUACUCUAUUUCAAAAGCCACCACCAAAAAAAAAAAAAAUUAAAUAAAUAAAUAAAUAAAUAAAAUCAAAAUGUAUUUAUUAAAUUAAAUAAUUUGCAAAAACUACGAAUCUCAAAAGUCUGUCUACUUAUAGACUAAAGUUAUUUAUUAAUCAUGGUUAAUAUGAGAUGUGUGUAACACAAAACAAUUUUUAGCUUUACCGUUAAGCCAUAAUAUCGUUUUUUUUUUUAUAAGCAUUAAUUAAUCUAAUUUCUCCUUAACUAAUGAUUGUAUUAUGCGUAUGGUGUUACUCUCAUCAUCAUUUAACUUUUCAACCAGGUGGUUGUGGUUGGAGAUUAAUUAAUGCUUCAACAUAUUACAAUUCAGAGAGAAUGACAAUUCCAUCCCUCUUUAUUUUUAUUUUUAUUUUUAUUUUUUGGGGCAUCACUUAGGUUUCUUGUAGACUUUUAGUACCUCAUUUUAUCAUUGACUAAAAAAUGUUAAGUAAAAAAGUACGCGGUUGGAGGUAAAAAAUACAGUUGGUUUAUUGAUAUACAAACUAAUAUUACAUAAAAUCUGACAUAAAAACAUAUUAAAACUAGACCAAUUAAUGAGGUCAUUUUAUGCCGACGCGUACGUGACGCAAUCGUGCAAAUACGAAAAAAAUGUACUGAAUAUUGAUGAGCCAUGGUCCAAAACAAUAACUGGACCAGUUGAUGAGGCUGGCUUAUUAUCUACAAACAAGGUAGUCAAUCUAGGCUUCAGCAGUUAGUAUCCCAAUCCAAAUCAAGUGCGCAGCCCUAAAACAAAGAGUGGACUUUCUAACACCCCGUGAAAAUUCUUACGAAACCCUCUUUUUUUUAAUUAUUAUUAUUUUUUAUAUAUUAAAUCAUUUGGUAUUUAAAAAUUGCAUUAGGUCUCGACUGAUCCAAAUUCGAGCCAGAUAUGACUACUAAGUCAGUAAAACUCUUCCAAUAAAUAUUUAAUACAGCUGCAUCCUAAGUUUCGAACCGAGAACCUUUAUUAAGUUAAAAUAGUCCUUCCCAAUUGAUUUACGCGCUUGUUGAUUUUUUUCAAUUAUUAUUAUUCUUAUUUUAAUACCAAAAAUAUCCUUUUCCUGCUAAAUUCCUAUUACAUUUUUUUUUAGUUUAUUCCAAUUUAACUAUUUUAAAUGAGACCGAGACGAUGAGUUUGCAAAACUAUGUAAAGUUAGGUGGAGCUGCUUGAUGGUUCCUCCAAUCACGAUCAUGAUGGUAAAUGUUGAACUUGGAAAAACAUAAGCCGCUAAACUCAAUAAGUAUUUGCAAAAGAUAGUACAUCAGGUAGUUUUAAAGAAAUUUUUUUUUUCUUCAGUUUUCUCACCCGUAAAACAAAUCAAUGUCUUAUUUUUGGUCUUUUGGAUAGAUGAGUCACAAACAAAAACAAAAAGGAAAAGGGCAAAAAACAGGACUUCUUGAUUUUUCAAAUUUCGGGGAGCGAGAGAGAAGCGGUCGAAGAGUUCGCAGAGAAAAUAAAAAUAUCCUGCGUGUGUUAUAAUUAAAAAUAGCGGGCUGCUAAUAGCUGUACUGGAAGGCAAAAAUAUCGUCGCUCAAGCCCAUUCAAAUUCGGCCUAUGUCUAAAGAAUGAGAGAAGACUUUACUUCUCAAGCUGACUUGGGGGUACCGGGCCAGGCUGGUUUCGUUUGCUUUUUAUUUUCCCUCACUAAUACAAUUUACCAAUUCAAAAAUAUAUGCGCAAAGUUUUCACUGCGUGUUUUCAUUUGUCGAAAUUAUGGUUGUUGAUUUACUUCUAAAUAUGUAACGCAUUACGAGCGUAAACUAUCGAAAUCGUACCAUUAUUAUAAAUCUGUUCUAAUCUAUGAGGCUUUUAAUUGAAAAUAUAAUAGAUUAUAUUGUAAUUCAAAAUAAAAAUGUAUAAAUGUCAAAUAAUAAGUUAACAUACGAGUGCAGUCUCACACAAAUUUUGUCGGUGAACGCAUUGCCAACUUGGAAAAUCUACUCAACUAACACUUCCUUCUCUUUACUGUUGCAUUGACUUUAGAAAGUUAAUUUUAGGAGUCUUGUUACAAUGCACCAGCUGCACCAUCUAACAAGUUUUACAUUGUCCUUAACAAAGUAUUCAUUCAUAAUCGCUGAUUCGCUAUAUUAUUUUUAUACAUAACAUGUUUUUGUAAUACAUAUAGUAAAUUAUUUAUACAACGAAAAAGUUAUUAUCAAUUAAAAAAAAAAAUUGUGGAUGUACGGCGCAACAUGCUGCACCAUAAUCACACCCUAAAUUAUUAAAAUAAUAAAUAAAUUAAAAGAUAAAUAAAACGUACAUUUUAAAUAAUAUAUUUUAUUUUUAAUAUAUUAAAAUAUAUAUUUUAUAUACCUUUUAACUUAUUUCUUAUUUUAAUAAUUUAAAGAAUCUUUCAUUCAAAAUUUAUUCUCUACAUAUAUUAAGUUGGCCCAUUUUGAUGACAUAAUAUUUACAUGCAUGAACUUGAUCUUACAUGCAUGAACUUGAUCACUAACACAUAUAUUACAUGAGUCGCACCUGAUGAAAAUUCCGUAUGAAAUAUAUUCAAGUGAUCCAGAUCGAUAGAUAAAUUAAUUGUACCAUGUUACAGUUACAAUUGGAAAAUAAUAGAUGGUACAUCUUCCUUUUAUGUGGCAAAAUAAUAUAUAUAGUACAUUUUUCCUUUUACGUGGCCCUCAUGACGUCAAGGUAUAAAUCAUCAUAUCACAGUGAUUUAAUGUGGACAUCUAAUGGACCGCCAAUAUUCAACAUCUGAAAGUUAAAUCAAUUUUUGUCUUUUAACAAUUGUUUAUCAACAAUUUAUGGUCCUAAUUUUAACAUAAUGUGAACGUUCAAAGAAGACAAAAUACUUGAGAAUUUAGCAACCUAUUCUUCCACGUGAGGAGUCAAGUUCCCCCUCCAUUGCCUUUGCAUUUAUUUUUCAGUAAUAUCACUUUUUACGUUAUAUAUGAAAUUUUUAAAAGUAGAUUUAGUAUUCAGAUUGUGUAUAGGUAUCUAGAGUGCCAACGAACUAUAUAAGCUCGGGAUAAAGGAACUUUUUUUAUUCUAAGCUCUCUAGCUUUUAACGGUCUUAUUCUACAUUUUAAUCGUAUAAUAAUAUUGUAUAAUUGAGAUUUAACUGUUAUUAUUAUAUUUUAACUUACUAACCACGAAUUAUUUACGUAAAAGUUACUAAAAAAGAACUCAUAUUAGGAGGGAAUAUGGUCAGUAAGUAACCAAAGUAUGCCACAACAAAAAAUGAUUUAGAUAUGCUAACGGUAAAUCUUAACUAGUGCUUGUACUACUUAUACAUGUAGGUUUGUACUACCAAUGGUGAAGCCAGAAGCGUCCAGUUUGAGCAAGUAUUACCUUAUUAAGUUAAUUUUUCCCAAAAAUUCAAUCCAGAAAGUAUGAGAAAUGACAAGCACCAUGGUUCAAUUUUCCCCUCAAAAAGAAACAAGCAAGAAAAGAAAAAGCACACACGCUAUACUUUUGAUGGAAGUUAUGAAAUGCACUUUUAGUUCAACUUCCUCGGUGCUUUAAAGCUCUUUGGGAGCUGCUGUUGAAGUGUACUCGGCAAAGGUUAGCCUGGGUCCAUUUGUUCUCAUUUGCAGGUCAGAUCUAAAAUUGGGUCAGCAAGAUAAUUGCAUAAUUGAACCCAAUGCAACCACCAUAAUUGUUUUAGAAAGACUGAUAUGCGUUUGUAAUUGGUUUUGGUAUAUCACCUUUGUUUGUAUUUCACCAUCAAUGAGACAGCUUUUUUUUUUAAGUAUAGUGAAUGAACAGAGAAAUUUGUCGGCAAGCUUAUCCCAACUCCUUGAUUGCUAGUUUAAGUGUCUAUUCACAUCAACGAGCCAAGUUGAUUCAUCUCAUUACCGGUAUUUAAGGUCAAUUUUUUUAACUUAAAUCUAAUAUGUUAUUAUACAACUUAAACGAUAAUUCCAAGUUUUUUUAAACUUUUUACUUUUGUAUGAUCAAAUAAAAAUCAGUUAGGUUGCAGUAGCCGACACAAGAUAACUAAAAACCGAACAAAUUCCAUGAAAAGUUCAUAAAAAAGUCUUUAAAAAUAAUUGCUUUGUACUAUGAAAAUAAAAAAAGAAAAGUGCUUCCCGCACAUUUUGAUGUGCUAUGAAAUAUCACAUAUACUUAAUUUUUUGUCUCAACUAGGGUUGGUAAUUUAUCGGGUCAGGCCGAGCCUGAACCCGACCCUAUAACACAACUAAAGGGCCCUAACCCUACAAAAAAAAAUCUUAUUGUUUCACUUUCGGGUCGGGUCAGGGUCUGGCAUGACCCGUCGGACUCUAAAAAAGUCCGAACCCUACUAAUUUUUAAAUAACCAACUUUGAUAUCGUAAAUUUAGAUUUAUAUAAACAAAUGCAAAUGUACAACCUAUCUUAUUCUAACUAUUAAAAGUAAUGCUUUCCAUGAUUUUCAUAAGCAAUAAGAAAUUUGUAGUGUUUUGAUUGCCUCAAAAAAUCCCAACUAAUCAAACACUGCCCAAGAUCUUUGUCAAGAUAAAUUCAAGUUGCAUAUGAAUCAAAUGACCAACCUUGAUGACUCAAUGAUUAACAAGAACCUAGUAAACGAAUUUUAGAGACCAGAAACACAAGUAUCAAGCUAAAUUAGCAACCAAAACACACAGAAAAGAAUACUGAUUUUACGUGGUUCAAUUGUGCAAAGAAGCACAAUCUACCAGAAUGAGUUUUUACUGAUGAUUCAAGUUUAAUUUAUAAAGCUUUUACAGAAUAGAUGACAAGGAACGGGAUGUCUCUCUCUCUCUUUCUCGUAUAUCUCUCUAGAACGCUCUUAAUUCCUCACUGAAACUGCCUCAACAAUCAGCUUUGUAUAACAGCCGAUAACAAACCGGAUUGCACCAGUUUCUGCCACGUGGAUAACGGCCUGCAACAAUCUUGAUUCCCCCUCACAUGCUUAAUCACGUGCAUGACUUAAGUCUGAGCCAAAACGUCUUCAUGUCUUGCCGGUUAUUAGGUGAGUCACACGUCCAUCACGUGACAGCUUGAAACAAAUUGAUAGGCAAAACGAUGCCGUUUCACAUGUCCAAGUUUUAAAUUCAGCAAAUUAGUCCACAAAAUUAAAGUUAUUUAUUUUAUUUUUAUCCAAGGACAACUCUUUGCUCAAACCAAAAACUCUUGAUCUUGAACAUCUUUAUAAUCACAGAGAGCCCCCUGAAGCUUGGCUGCUCAUCAGCCUCGCUUGGAUUCAACCACUCGAGAGGACACCAACAUCAGUUUUUGCAUCUGAUGCUCUGCCAAUAUUUCCCUCGUCAAUCCCUCCGCAUUGCAAGCAUAAAACAUUAAAGAAAACACUGAUAAUAAAAAAUUAAGUGACAAUUCAAAAUGUUAUACAGUUCAUGUUAAUUAUUAAACUCUAACAAGACAAGAAAGAAAUUAAGAACAUUAAUUGUGAAAAAAAGUGAAAUAUUGAUUCAAAAUUAUAGAUCUUAAUGUAUGAAGCUAUAAAGGAAACGCCCAGAGGAUCUGUUUUGUGAUGAAAAUUUAAAAUUUAUGUUUUAAAUUAAUAAUAAUAUUUUGAAAAUUUGCACAUGUAAAAAAAUAUAGAAAUGUGUGAAUAUGUUUUCAUUUAGGUGGUAAUUUUGCUCGCCUAAUCAUAAUUCUUUUUGAUGUUGUAUGAAAAUAAAAAUAAUUGAAUAUUAUUUAGAGAUAUAUACUAAUUAAUUUAUUUAAAAAAGUUUACAAUCUAUAUACACUAUAUACAAAUUAUGAUCUAUAAUUUAAUGAGAUUCUGUAUAAUUGCACUUUAAAUUUAUAGUACAAUCCAGAAGUUUUUCAAAAAUUAACUUGGAAAUCUACUCUCAUAAAUAUACAAAAAGAUAUGUACGGUAUUUUAAAUUAAAAAUAUAAUAUUAUAAUUCAUUAUUAAUUUGGUUUGUAUUAAUGGGAAUCUUCCUUGCAUUCUUCUUUUAGUUGUGCCAAGGAUAUCCUUGAAAAGGAAAUGCUUCCUCAUGUUCCUAUGACUGAAUUCUCUAGAACUAAGAAAGCUUAUUAUUUUGGGUAACUAUAAUCUUCUAUAUAUUAUCAUUGUCAUUACUUUAGAGUAGUUACAGAUCUUAUUGAUCCUUUCUUCAGCUAUAUUAUACAUCAGCUUCUUCUUUGUGCAUUUGGCCGGUGGGUUAAAGAUGAUAGAUAUCAUUAUGGCAACAAGAGGUUGGACCUUGCUGGUUCAUUACUUAGAAGGCUUGUUUAGGAUGGUUUGUUUCAUUUUUGUGUUGAGGUAGUUGACUUUACUUGUGAUCAUACGAAUGAAGAUGUAUCUCUUUUCUUUUAACACCCCACUUUUAUAACUAAAAUAAGAUGAUUUAUUUUAAAAUAUUUAAAAUCUCAAUAUUUUUUUAAUAUAAAUACGGAUAAUUAAAACUUUUACAUGAUAAGCAGAAACUUCAUUACAAAAUAUAAGAGACAUAGAAAUUCCUUAGUAUAUAUUUCAAAACUUCGUUAUUAUGUAAGAGAAUUUAAGAUAUUUAUUUUUUAUAACAACACGACUAAGCCCAUCACAGUCCAACGGUUUGACAUGCCCAUAUGCAUUUCAUCUUGGUUGGGACUUGGCGUCAGCUUGAUCUACUCAUUAUUACCUACAAUGUAAGGAUUGCAUGAGCCAAAACCUAGUAAGAUAACAUGCAAGUAUAAAUUGUUAUGCACAUGGAUGAGCUUAUGAACAAUAAAUCUCUAAAAGAAACAUAGAAAUAUAAAACAACUUUGUUAGGGCCCUACGUACAUUGCACGACAAGGUUGGCAAUUUUCAUUCUUUAAAAUAGCAUCCCCUUAGGCCUAAAUUAAUAAUUGAUCUUUGGGCAUUGCAUAUCGCCGUCCCCAAAAGAUUACUCUUUAUUUAGCUUUGAGGGCUUGCCCUUCUUGGAAAUUUUACCACCCCAGUAGUACAACAAUCCAUUGUUCAAGACUCAUUUUUAAAAAUGUCUUCUUUGUAAAGUAAUCUUAACAUAUUAACAUGAAAUGCAUGUGUUCAAUGCAACCUAUAUCAUGACAUGUAAUGUUCCUAGAUAUAUAACAAAGCCAACCAUACAAAGUUUUCUGAAGACAACAAUCUUUAGUAUAGGCAGCAGUGCCGUCCAUAUAAAGAUUAAAUAAAAAAUGUUAUUAUAAUAUAGAUGGGAGAGUGGACUAGGGAUGGCAAAAUAACCUAGACCCAGCCCGGACCCGGAUGAACUCGGAUUAUCCGGUGCGGGUUGAACCCAGUCCGGAGAUAAAAAUAAUGCGGAUCCGGAAUUCAUUUUAUAAACCCGGACAUAUCCGGGUCCGGAUCCGGGUUUACGUAAACCCGGAUCUCCGAAACUCGGACCCGGAUAUCUUUAUUUUAAAAUUUAUUAAAUAAUUAAUUUUAAGUUAUUAAAUCUAAGUAUAAAAACAAAAAAAAAAAAAAAAAAAAGAAACCAUAAAACAAACUGUAGCCGUAGCUGAUAACUCUAUGAAAUGAGAGUUAUCAUGGCCCUUUUAGGCUUAAAUCAAUACUACUUAGAGAGUAAAUUAUGUGUUUCUAUUACAUUUUUGUUACAUUUUGCAUAAAAAAUCAUUUUAGUCAGUCUUAAUAAGUUUUGGUCGAUUUAAAGUAAUUUAUGCUCAAAUUGUGUGCAUAAUUGUAGGUUUCUAGAAGCUUAUAAUUCAUGGAAGGAAUGCUAUGCAAUAGGCUUGCAAAAAAAAAGGAAAGAACAUGGCUACAAAAGAGUUGAAAUAAAUCUGGAACAGUGCAGUUGCUGUAGAUAUUGCUGUAGCAACCAUUGCUGUAGCCGUUGCUGUAGCAAUCCUGGAACAACGAUAGAGAAAAUUCUGUGUGGGAUACUUGCAGAAUUACGAUCUGCAGUUUCUUAAUCUGACUUAUGCGUGCCUUAGGGUUCCGUUUACCCCAAUUUUCAACUAUAAAAGAAGCACACAUCAUAAGGAAAAAGGAGAGCCGUCACCCAAGGAGAAAAACACAAAGAAACAAAAGAAAAACAAGAUUCAAGAGAGAGAUUAAGGGCUGCACAAGAGGAGAAUUUACAGAAAUCAAUUGGGAGCUCAAUCCUUCUUAUUCUUAUCUUGUUUUCUCGUUUUCUAUUUAUUUAUGGGGAUGUGUUUCAUGGCUGAAACUUUGUUCUUUAUUUUUCUUUUACAAACCAUGAACUAAAUUUAUUUGUGGUUGAGUGAUAUAUGUGUUGCUGCAUGUUUGUUGUAGCAGUUUGUUUUGAUAGUAUUUUCUUUUAUUCAUUAUUUCGGUUGAUCACCCAUUUAAUGAUACAAGUUAGGAGAGAGCCGCAAAAUGGCCUAUCUUAGUGGAACAUAUCAGAAUGAUCUUAAAUUGAGUUUCCCGGAUUGAGUCUUACUUGAGUUCCAAAAGGGUCAUGCUUGAUUUAAGAUUAGUGAUGAACUAGACAUAAGGAUUCACCUUGUAGGGACAAUAGAACCUAAGCGUGUAAUGUUAUAUCUUAUGUUGGCAUAGCAACUGAUCACUGUUAGGUUGCAUAUAGAUAUAAGAUAUCCAACAUGCGACGGCUGAGGAUACAUAAGGAUUAUACCCAGUGCUGUAGCAAUUACUACAGCAACCGAGCCAACUAUUAGAAAAUAGUCAAGACUAUUAGGAGAGUUUAUUCACUCAACUACUCAAUAUUCCUAUUAGUUUUAUCCUUGAGAUUGACGUGAUAAUUUAUUUUGUUGCAUUUUAUUUACUGUGUUUUUAUUUUAAUUAGUAAAUUAGUUUCAUCAAUUGUUUAUCUUAAUUUAGACACAAAAUCUGCACUGUUAAGAUUGCUGUAGCAAGUCUAAUAACAUCAAUCCAUGUGAAGACGAUCUUAAAUACUCAUCACUUUAUUACUUGUUGUGUACACUUGCACAUUGACACCAAUAGCAUUGAUAUUUAUACACCAACAAUAGUAGCCCUGUUUCUCCUCUUCUCUCACCUUCUUCAAUCUUCACGCCACAAAGCCCAAAUUCAUCAUCGUCAAUUUGUCAUCAUCCUUGUCAAUAUUCAAGUAAUUCCCAAGCAUCAUCAUCAACAGCUCAUCAUCAUCCUCAAUAUUCAAUUCAUCCCGUCGUCGUUCUUCUUCAUCAAUUUGUCGCAUUGCCAUCCAUGAUUCACCAUCGUCUUCAUCGCGUCACCAUUCAUCUUGAUUACAUCAUCAACAUACAUGCUUCUUGGGAAUUAAUAGUGCUCUGAGGUGAUAUUAACAUAUGUGGGUCAGCUUUUAUCUCUAAAUCAUGAUUCAUUUCAAUUCAUUUAUAUUCAAGUUGUCUCGAUUGUAAAGAAUCUAUAAUCCUUUAAUCCAUUGGUGCUUGCGAUUUGAACUCUUUCUGGAAUUUUUCAUAACCUGAAACAAGUUUAUGUUUUUCAGUUCAUUCAGUUAUCCGGGUUUUAAACCCGACAUCCGGAAACCCGGAUUUCUCCGAGUUGAACCCGCACCGGACCCGGAGCCAAAAAAUCUGGGUUUAUAUCCGGAUCCGAAAUGCAAAAUUGUCAUCCGGGUCCGAAAUCGGGAAGGCUAAACCCAGACCUGGACUCGGAUUUUGCCAUCCCUAGAGUGGACCAUAUCAUAAUUAAAUAAAAAUAUCAUAGUAUAGGCGGCAUAGCCAACCAUAUAAAAAUUAAAUGAGAAAAUAUGAAAAUAUAGGCGGCAUAGCUGACCAUAUAAGGAUUAAAUAAGAAAAUAUCAAAUAUAGGUGGCAUAGCCAACCAUAUAAAGAUUAAACAAUAAAUAAUCACAUCAUAGUAGUCAUCAUAAGAUAAAAAAAUAAUUAAAGAUGAAUUUAAGUAUGGAAAGAACAUUAUUCGUAAACUACAGUUGAAGUGUUACUUAUCUCUUAAUCUUGACUUCUCUAGGCCCUCAUAAUUUGAGGAUUUCUCUAUUAUUUGAUGUUAUUACUUAGAAUAGAAGAGGACAGAAUUUCUAAAGUGAUAUAGAAAAUGAAAGGGCUAGGGGUACUUAUAGGAUUUUCUAAAGCUAAUGGAUGGUUAGGAUUUUACCACUAUAACUUUUGAUUAAUGGUUGAGAUUUAUCCUUGCAUAAAUAUCUCUGUAAAUUCUAGAAUUUAUUAAUAUUUUAUAGAUAUCUUGUUGCAUAAUUACUUAUGUCAUCGCUUAUGUCAUCAUUACUCUAGAAUUUUCUAUCAUAAAUAUUUUCUAUUAUUAUUAUUUUAAUAGGUAAGGGGACUUAUUAGCCUAAAAAUUAAUUCUACUAUAUUCAAAUGAGAAAUUUAUAUCUCACAAUUUCCUUCCCAUUACGAAAAUUUUAUGCUCGAAAUUGAUUUAUUGAAUAGCUCAGGAUACUUAUUCUUCAUAUUUUCUUCACGUUCCCAUGUUGCCUCCCCUAUCGAGCUAUUUCGUCAUAGUAUUUUAACUAGAAAAAUCUUCUUGCUUUUUAUCUCCUUUAUCUUUCUAUCAAAUACUUGGAUUGGACGUUCUCCAUAGGUUAAGUUUUCUCCUAGUUGAAAAGCCUUAUAAUCUAGCACAUGAGAGGGGGUCUGUAACAUAUUUCUUUAACAUGAAGAUAUGAAAAGAAAUUGUGUAUCCUUGACAAUGGUAGAAGAGCAAGUCGGUACGAAAUGUUCUUGACAUAUUCAAGUAUUUCAAAUGGUCCAAUAAACCUCGAAAUUAAAUUUCCUUUUACAAAUACCUUAUCACCAACUUGAAAUUCUGAAGGCCUUAAGCUCUUAUCUACAUGACUUUUCUGUUAACUUUGAGCUGCCUAUAUUCUUGGACGUAUUUUCUCGAUCGCCUUAGAUGAGACAACAAUGAGGCUGGGCCCAAGCUACCUUUGCUCGCCCAUUUCAUUCCAAUGAAUAGGUGACCUACAUUUUUUACCAUAUAGAGUUUCGUAGAGUGCCAUGCCGAUUAUUGCUUGAUAGCUAUUAUUGUAGGCAAAUGAAGCCAAAGGUAGAUAUUUGCUCUAUGAUAUUUGAAAGUCGAUAGUGCAUCCCCGUAAUAUAUCUUUUAGUGUCUAGAUCGUUGUUUCUAACAGACCAUUUGUUUGAGGGUAAAAUGUUGUACUAAAUUUUAAUUUUGUUCUCAUAGCUCUAUGUAACUUUUCCUAAAAUGUUGAGGUGAACCUUGUAUCUCGAUCAAAGAUAAUAGAAAUAGGUACACCAUAUAGUCUUACUAUCUCCUUUAUGUAUAUUUCUGCAAAUUGGUUUAUAGUGCACGUCAUUCAAAUAGGUAAAAAGUGAGCAGACUUUAUGAGUCAAUUGACGAUCAGCCAAAUGGCAUCAUGCAUUUCUUUUUCAAUUUUUUCAUUACUAUUGGUAUUUAUGCAAUUUUUUAGAAAGUUAAACUGCAAUGUGAGAGCUUAUGUGAAGAAGGUUCUAAGUAUUUGUUGCUUUCUUUCUUUUUUCCUUUUUGUUUGAUUUUGAAUCAUUUUUUUCAUUUCUUCUGGUUUGCACUCAUGCAGUUCAUCCAUUUUGUAAAUGUUGGAUAAGGAUCUAUAUGUUAAUUUGCAAUAUGCUAUUUUAGCUAAAACAAUUACCCAUGGUAUAAAGUAUUCUUUGGCUACCGGUAAUUAGGGCCAGUUAGAUGCGUUUAUUACAAGAACAAAAGUGUCAAAGAUUUUUUAUUUUUGAUCCAUUUGAAUACAUGAUAGUUUUUUUUGCUCACUCAAUUUCUACUUUGUAGCAUUCCUUGUAGUAUACCUUUUGAUUACAUUGAUCUUGUGGUCUUUCACAAAUGUUGAAUUACAGACAUGCGCCUCUACCUUGUCGCAUUUGCGAACACUGUGUUCUCCCAUAGGGCAAAAAGGUAAACUACUUAUUGUUGUGCAUGAUUUUGUUUUAUUGAGGGUUCAUUCAUGCUUAGUUUUGUUUUUCUUUUAUGCAUCACCAUGUUGUUAUUUUGUUAAUUUGUUGCAUAUAAUUAAUUGUUUUCACUUUAUUUUUCUAAAGAAGUUUUCAUUUACUAGGUACACAAGUAAAACCUAAGCUAGCACAUAAUACACAAUGGGGUAAGAUUUAUUCCUUUCCAACACUUUUAGGACAAGUAAGUUAAAAUUGUGCUUAUAGGAUAUAUCUAUAAUAUCUUUUUCUGAUUGUAGCUUACAAGAAUUUGUUUUGGUUAAUCCAGGCCUGUGGACUAGUGAAGAAUCUUGCUUUGAUAGUCAAUGUAACCCUCGGCUCAUUAGUAUUUCCCAUUAAUGAGUUAUUAGAAUAUGAGCCAAUAGUAGAAGCCAAGGUGCAUUUUGUAAUUUAUGGCACUUAGACGUUAAUUAUACAUAUUUCAUUCACAUUAUUUCAAUUUUCUCUUAAUUGUAGGAUGCUACUGCAAACUUUUUUCUACAAGCUACAAAAAUUUUUGUCAAUGGUUGCUGGGUGUCAUGCAUGAUGUUGGUUCAUUGGUCCAAGCUUUGAGACACUUGAAAAGAAAUGUCAUUAUACUUGUAUUUCAUCUAUUCGUAAAGAAACCUCUGUAUUAAAAGUUGGCAAACCUAUUGGUGUACUCUAAACUUUCUUUAGUAUUAUUUAUGCCAUUUCUGAACUAUUUUGUUUGUCUACCCAUGUACAAGACUUUAUAAAUGCUGCAAUUGGGGUUUCUAGGGAUAUCCAUUCAAAAGAAUUGUGUAUAUACACUGAUUUUGGUCGUUGUUGUCGUCCAUUGCUUAUUGUCCAGAAUCAAAGGCUUCUUAAAAAGAAGAAAGAUAUUGACGCCUUCUAUGACAAGGUUAGCCAAAUAGUUCUCUCUCUCUUUUUUAUUAAUGAUUUGUCUUUUCUGUAGUUACAUGACUUUUAUCUUGUUAAUCUUCUAGAAAUCUUCCGAAGAUGGUUGUUGGUGUGAUCUUUCUAAAAAAAGGGUUUAUAGAAUAUAUUGAUCCAUAAGAAGAAGAAACCAUAAUGAUUUGCAUGACAAUCAAUGUGAAUAAAAUGGUAUUGGUUGGUCGAAAACCUGUUAUCGUGAGACGUAAUUUUUAACUUGCUAAAAAUUUGAUUAACACAAAUUUGUUUCAGGAACUUGUAAAUGCAAAGCUUCGUCCAGAGGAGGCUACUUCUAAUGCAUACACGCAUUAUAAGAUUCAUCCAUCCUUGAUAUUGGGAGCUUAUGCUUCAAUUAUACCAUUUCCCGACCAUAAUCAGGUGCGUCAUGCUUAUGACAUUUCUAUGGUAAAAUAUGUUUAUAUAUUGACUCAAUCUCACCAAUUUUUUUUUUCUUUUUCUUGAUGGGGUUUGCUUUUAGUCCCCAUGUAAUACGUUUCAAGCUGUAAUGAGCAAGUAAGCAAUUGGAAUCUAUGCUACAAACUACCGAUGACAUAUGAUACUGUAUUUGGUUUCAAUUUUUUUGUGAUUGGAAGCUCAUAUUCAGCAUGUCAUAUAUAAUGAUAUUAUUUUUCCUUUAUAUGAAUUAGGAUGCUUUAGCCUAUGUUCUUUACUACCCUUAGAAACCACUACUUGCUGGGAAGCCAUAAAAUCGCUUCAAGUUAACCAACUUCCUACUGGUGUGGUGAGUAUAUAAUUUAAUGCUGCGUUAUUGUUGCUCCUUAUGAUCAUAGUUUUCUUAUAAUCUUUUUGUCUCUGUUAUUUGGUAUUAGAAUGCAAUAGUCACUAUUGCCUGUUAUGAUGGCUAUCAUCAAGGAAGUUUUGUUGUUAUGAACCAGUCAUCUAUGGAUUAAGGAUUAUUUCGAUCUCUUUUCCUUCCAUACAUCUAGGUAAGCUGUUGUUGAGUCAUUUUGUAUCUUAAUUAACACGACUCAAAAGUAUUGAUUACUUCCGAGUAUAAGAGUGUCUAAUUAUAAUAUAAUCCAGUGAGUUGGGGUUGAUCCACAAGGAAUCUAUAAAUCUAGUAGUCAUUAUUAAAAGGGAUAUUAUCAUUUUACUAUUAAAGUUAUUCUGACAUAUCAUGUCAAUACCAUGAUUUGCCGAAAAGUGCAUUUUACUACCAAACGUUUGUGCCGUUAUCAAUUCACUACUAUUCCCUUAAGAAUUUUAUGCAGUGUCCGUUGGGCCAGAGGUUUCAGCUGCGAUCCAAGAGAUUCUAAACUCUAAUUUGAUGUCGUCUGACUUCUUUUGCUCAUGGAUUUUAGAUAAAACUUCUGCGCUAAGUCUUGUUCAAAGUAUAAGUAUAGAAUUGAACUUGAUUCUGACUGAUUCCAUUGUUAAAAUGCAUGAGUUGUGUGGCUACUGGCUACUCUCCACUGAUGGUUUGCUGUCAUUGUACUUGUGCGUCAAAGAAGGCUUUCUUAAUAUUGUUGAGGAAAAUGUUGUCAGGUAAGGCUAAUCUGUUCACAUCUUGAAAUAAUUAUUUGAUGGUGAAUAUUUGUUAAAGUUAUCUAUUUUCUUUAUUUCUUAUGAUGAAGUAGAUUUGAUGUUGAGAAGAAAAAUAUUAGUGUUCAAUUGUGUGUUGAGUGAGUGGUUUAAAUGAGUAUUAAGAGUAAUUAAAAUUAUAUAGUAAUGUUAAAUUGUUCAUGAUAUUAGUUUAACGAAAGACUUCUUAAUUUUUUUAAUAAAAUUAAUAUAGUGUUCAAAGUGUAUUUUAUCAAUAAUGUUGACAUUCCUACAUUUGAGUCUUAAUUUUAUGUGUCAUUUGUUCAUUAGAUAAUAUAUUUUAUAAUUUAUAAAAUUAUUAUUUUAUUAUACAAUAAAUAAAUGACUCAUCAAUUAGGACUAAAUUGAAACAUAAAUGUUGAAUAUUACGUUUUGUUAAUGUUAAAGUGUAAUGGUCAUGUUAUGUAGCAAAAAUUCAUGUAUUUAUUUUUUAUUUAUUUUAUAAAAAUUCAGUUUUUCAUAUACAUAGAAGUUAGUAAAUUGAAAUUGUUUCUAUUAAACUGUUGAAGUGCAGGUGUGCAUUUGCUAUAUAUAUUAUUUUUCAGAAUCUUUUACUUUAAAAAAAAAAAAAAAAAAAAAAAGACUCGUACUUGAUAGGUAAUUAACUAGGAAAAAUAAAUAAAGAAGAAAGGUGGCAACUUAAGUUUAAUUUCAUUAAAAAUUAUGGGUAAAAUAUAUAAUUAAAUAUUUUGUUGAUAAUGAGACAAAAAGUUAUUUUAUGUGAUUUGAAGAAACAAAAGAGUAAUGGACACAUGUCUAAUGUACAAAGAGUAGGCGAGUAAGUCGCACUGACCGUAACACUAUUUAUAUAUACUGUUGUGGACCCGCCUGAGUUACAGUUCACGUAACACUACUCGACUUUUCUGGCUUCUUAAUGUAAACUAUCGUUGACCUCCUUAUACUUUAUAUUAUUAACAGUUUAUUCAUAAGUAUAUAAACUUUUCUGUAUUGUAAACUUUUGUUGAGCCCCUUACACUUUAUUUUAUUUUAUUGAAACCCUUAGAGUAUCAAAUUCGCCCCUAUAAUUUUUAAAUUCCCAAAAUACCCUCUAUUUAAUUUAAAAAUAUAAUUAUUAUUAAAUGUGUUAUUAUUAUAAUUAUAAUAAUUAUUUUAUUAUAAUUAUCAAUAUAAUUAUAAUUUUAAAUAGAUUAUUAUUAUUAUUAUCAUUAUUAACAAAAAUAAAAGUAUUAUAAUUAAAUAAUCUAUUAACGAUAAUUAAUAAUAAUUUUUUAGUUAAAUUAAUAAUAAUAAUAAUUAAAAUUUAUUAUUAUUAUUAAUUAAUUUUGAAUAAUAAUAAUAAUCAAAAUAAUUAAAAUAUAAAAUAAUAAUUAUGAUAAAAAUUAAUUAAGAAUUUUAUAGUAAUUUGCUACAAUUUAACUCAUUCCUAUUUUGAUUCUAAAACAAAGUAAAUACAUAAAUGGUAAUACAACUCAUUCUAAUUAUGAUUCCUCCAGUUCAAGUAAAUAAAUUAUUUUGAUUCCAAUUCCUCAUUUUGAUUCUAUCUAUUCCAAUUUUAACUCAUUAUGUUUUCAGCUAAUUUUGAUUCCUAUUUAGUGAAUGCACUAUAAAAUUGUAAACCACUCUAUAUUCAACUAGACCACUCUAUAUUAUUUACAAUUUAUUCAUAAGUAUUAUGAAACUUUCUUCUUACCUAUACUAUAAAAAUUCAAUUUAUCUCCCUACACUCUUUUUCAUUUACUAUUUUUUUAUAAGUGUCAAAAGAGUGUUUACAACCAUGACACAUUAGUUAUCAUAGCACACUAAUAUUAAUAAAAAGUUUUUUAAGAAUAUUACCAUUCAUCUUUUAUAUAAUAUAUUCUCAUAAUAAUUAAUACUUUCAUGAUAAAAGGAUUAACAAAAUAAAAAGUAAAUUCCCUUUGAAUCCAUCCCUCUCCACCAUUAACUUCUCUUUAUCAGCAACCUUCAUCGAUAAUUGAAGUCACCAUUAGGCUCAUCAAAGAGAAAGAGAGUACGAGAGGGGAAGAAGAAAUGGGAAAAAAAUAUGAGAUUUUCACAAUUUUAUAGUGCAUUCAUUAAGCAAGAAUCAAAAUUAGCUGGAAAAAUAAUGAGUUAUGAUCGAAAUGAGGAAUUGGAAUCAGAAUAAUUUAUUUACUUAAACUGCAGGAAUCAUAAUUAGAAUGAGUUGUAUUACCAUUUAUGCGUUUAUUUUGUCUUAGAAUUAAAAUCAGAAUGAAUUAAACAAAUUAUUAUAAAAUUCUUAAUUAAUUUUUAUCAUAAUUAAUAUUUUUUAUUUUAAUUAUUGUGAUUAUUAUUAUUUAAAAAUUAAUUAAUUAAUAAUAAUUAUUUUUAAUUAUUAUUAUUAUUAACAAUUUAACUAAAAAAUUAUUAUUAAUAUUGUUAAUAGAUUAAUUACUUAUAAUACUUUUAUUCUUGUUAAUAAUAAUAAUAAUAAUAAUCAUCAUCAUCCAUUUAAAAAAUAUAAUUAUAAUUAUAAUCUAUUUAAUAAUAAUUAUAUUUUUUUAAUUAAAUGGAUGGUAUUUUGGAAAUUUAAAAAUUAUAGGGGCGUAUUUGAUACUCUAAAGGUUCUAGUUAAAUUAAACAAAAAUUACAUACGUAUGUACAUACAUACAUAAAUUAUAGGGGCGUAUUUAAUAUCUAUAAAUUAAACAAAAAUUACAUUAAAUAUUUACACAUUGUCAUACAUACGUAUGUACAUACAUACAUACAUACAUACAUACAUAAUUUAUCGAUAUUAUAAAAUAUACAUAUCUACUAAAAUAUUACAUACACUAUUGAGGUUUUAAUUAUAUAUAUGUAAAUAAUAUUAUAUAUCAAUAUUAUAAAAUAUACAUGUCUACCAAUAUUUUAUACAUUUACAUUAUUAAAGCUCUAAAUAUAUUUAAAAUUUUAUAAAUAAAAUAUUGUGUCUAUAUUCAUCCUUUUAAAGAAUAAAAAUAAAAAAAAAUUAUUUUUAAUAUUUGAGUUUUGAUGAUAAGAAUCUGUAAAUUAUUUUAAAAUAUAAAAUAUAAUCAGGUCAUUGAUCGGAUAAAUGGGUUAAGAAUUUUAAUCAUAACCCGAUACGGAAAAAAAUUGUGUUGACCCAAACUCGAUCCAUUUAAUAAUCGUAUUAAAUUUAAUGACCCAUACUUAUUUAUUGGUGUCAUACUCGUGUCGAGUAAUCGGAUCGUAUCAAAUUUUAUCAGCUCUAGGUACAGCAACUCUUAUUUUCAUAAACAGACUUUUUGUCUUCUGCCCUUUUUUUUUUUUUGCCCUUUUUUAACUUUUUUUUUUGGUCCUUUUUUAACUAACAAUUAGUAAUACUACCAAUUACAUGUGACAACUGUAAGGAGUUCAUUGUCAACAAAAUAAUUAAGUCCAGAGAUUUGUUGUACCAUACUUGACAAAAUUCAACACAGUCUAAUAAAUGCUGAAAAGUGGAAACGGAACAAUUGCAGAGCGCCGGUGGAGCUCACCCGGCUAGAAGAUUAACAAAUUUCCUCCAUUAUUGUAGCCUAAAGACUUUUGAAGGCUAGAGACUUGUUCCGAAAUUUCAGCAUCCAUUUAGAUCGAGUAAAAACCAUCUUUCUCGGACGAUUACGAAGCAAUGGCUGUUGAAGAGCUCUUACUGUCUGCUUUCUUUCAAGUGUUGUUUGACAGAUUGGCUUCUGGUGAUUUUCUCACCUUUGUGGGUCAACUUCGAGGCGGGCUGGAUUCCGAGCUCAAAAAGUGGGAAAAAACUUUGAUAAUGAUACAGGCUGUGCUCAGUGAUGCAGAGGAGAAGCAACUGACGGACAGGGCUGUGAAGAUCUGGCUCGAUGAUCUCCGAGACUUGGCUUAUGACGCAGAGGACAUUCUUGAUGAGUUUGCUACUGAAGCUUUGAAUCAGAAGACGAUGGCAGAAAAUUCGAACCACAGUCCUGCUUGUUUCAACUGUUUUAGUCCAAGUUCUGUCAAGUUUAAAAUCGACAUGGAUUCCAAGAUUAAAAGUAUCACUAGCAGGUUGGAUGAACUAUGUGCUAAAAGAAUUGUACUUGGAUUGCAAUUGAUUCCUGGAGGGAUAUCAAAUGCCUGGAAGCGAAGACCGCCGAGUUCAAGUGUGCCAACGGAACGGGCUGUCUACGGCAGAGAUGAGGAUAAGGCCAGAAUACUUGAAAUGGUGUUAAGUGAUGAUCCAACCGCUGACGCCAACUUUUGUGUAAUACCAAUUGUCGGCAUGGCAGGGUCUGGAAAAACAACGCUUGCUCGGGAGGUCUACAACGACAGGGCUGUGCAAAAUUUCAAGUUUGAUGUGAAAGCAUGGGUUUGUGUUUCUGAUGAUUUUGAUGUUCUUAGCAUUUCGAGGGCUCUUCUCGAGUCAAUCACCUCCACAACUUGUGAUGUCAAGACGUUGAAUGAGGUGCAGGUUAAAUUGAAAAUUGCUGUGGAUGGAAAAAGGUUCUUGCUUGUAUUGGAUGACGUUUGGAAUGAGAACUACAACUUGUGGGAAAUCCUCAAAGCUCCCUUCAUGGCUGGUGCACCAAAUAGCAAAAUCAUUGUCACUACACGCCAUUCAAAUGUUGCGUCAACGAUGGGAUCCAUUGAACAUUAUAAUCUUAAGCUUCUGUCAGAUGAAGAUUGCUGGUCUGUUUUUGCGAAGCAUGCGUUUGAGAGUAGAGAUGCCGGUGCUCAUCAAUUUUCAGAAUUAUUUCGUAAGAAAAUUGUUGCAAAGUGCGGAGGCUUACCUUUAGCAGCAAGCACUCUUGGCGGCCUUUUACGCGCUAGACAUACAGAAGAUGCGUGGGAGGAUAUAUUGAGCAGCAAAAUGUGGGAUUUGCCUCAAGAAACUGACAUUCUCCCCGUGUUAAGGUUGAGCUACCAUUAUCUUCCUUCUUGUUUGAAGAGAUGCUUCACUUAUUGUGCGAUUUUUCCCAAAGAUUAUGAGUUCGAGAAGAAUGAACUUGUUUUUCUGUGGGUGGCUGAGGGUAUGAUUCAACAAUCAAUGACAGAUAAACGAUUGGAAGAUUUGGGCAAUGAGUUUUUUUGUGACCUCUUGUCUAGAUCACUUUUCCAACAAUCAAGCAGAGAUGGUUGUAAAUUUGUGAUGCACGACCUACUUCAUGAUUUAGCUCAAUUUGUUUCUGGAGAAACAGGUUUCUGGUUGGAAGAGGCAAAUAAGAAGUUAAGAACAUUCGAAAGGAUUCGUCAUUUUUCUUAUCCUCGUGCUUAUCAAGAUGGAAAAAACAAAUUUGAGGGUUUGAAUAAAGCCACAAGUCUGCGGACGUUUUUGCCUCUGAAAGUAAGAGUUUUUUCAUCUUGUUAUUAUAUAACCAACACGGUUCUUCUUGACUUGCUGCCAAAGCUCAAAAAGUUGAGGGUGCUAUCUUUAGAAGGAUACUGCAUUGCUCAUUUACCUAAUUCUAUCAAAGAUUUGAAGCUUCUAAGGUACCUCAAUCUUUCUGGUACAAUGAUCAAAAGUUUACCUGAGUCAAUAAGUUCACUGUUCAGCUUGCGGUUUUUGAUGUUAAGAGACUGUGAUCGUCUACAGAAGUUGCCUUCCAACAUGAGAAAUUUGAUUAAUUUGCAUCAUCUAGAUUUAAAGGGCGCACAUUUAUUAACAGAGAUGCCAUCGGGAAUGAAGACAUUGAAAUUUCUACAGACGUUGUCUGAUUUUAUUGUGGGUAGGGGUAUCGUAUCUGGCUUGAAGGAUUUGAAAAAUUUAACUUUCCUCCGUGGAGAACUUUGUAUUUCGAGAUUAGAAAAUGCGAAUAAUUCAUGGGAAGCAAGAGAAGCUUCAUUGUGCGAUAAGAAGUGUCUAGAGGCAUUGUCAUUAAAAUGGGGCUCUCCUCAUCAGUCGCGAAAUGUUAAUGAUCAGGCAGCAGAAGAAAAUGUACUUGAUAUGUUGCAGCCACACAAAAAUAUAAAGAAGCUAGAAAUCAUGCAGUAUGGUGGCAGGAGAUUUCCUGUAUGGUUAGGGGACCCAUCAUUCUCUAACAUGGUUGCUUUAAAAUUGAUAGGAUGUAAAAAUUGCACAUCCUUACCUGCUGUGGGGCAGUUGGUUUCCCUGAAAGAGCUUACAAUUGAAAGAAUGCUUGUACUCAGAAGUAUAGGGUUUGAAUUCUGUGGAAAGAAUUGCUUAAAGCCUUUUCAAUCCUUAGAGACUCUUUGCUUCAGUGGUUUGCCAGAAUGGGAGAUCUGGGAUACCGGCAACCAGACUGGGUAUACUGAAAUAUUCCCUCGCCUCGUUGAACUGUCCAUUUCUGGAUGCCCCAAACUAUCUGGAAAAUUACCCGACCAUCUUCCUGCAUUAGAGGCCCUUGUUGUCAGCUAUUGCGAAGAGCUGGUAGUUUC